rnacentral:sRNA from 1 species
UGAACAAAAGUGAAAGGGAAACAUUAUAUAAAACUUAAAAGAGUUCGGGCACUUCUAUCAACAUUUCGAAAAUUUGUAUAGCUAAUUAAAUUACCAAUUUGUGUGUGUGUGUGUGUGUGUGUGUGUGUGUGUGUGUGUGGCACUCUCUACAGUGGCACUUGAGUCGAUUCAA